AGUGAACGCUGGCGGCAGGCCUAACACAUGCAAGUCGAACGGCAGCACAGUAAGAGCUUGCUCUUACGGGUGGCGAGUGGCGGACGGGUGAGGAAUACAUCGGAAUCUACUUUUUCGUGGGGGAUAACGUAGUGAAACUUACGCUAAUACCGCAUACGACCUACGGGUGAAAGCAGGGGAUCUUCGGACCUUGCGCGAUUGAAUGAGCCGAUGUCGGAUUAGCUAGUUGGCGGGGUAAAGGCCCACCAAGGCGACGAUCCGUAGCUGGUCUGAGAGGAUGAUCAGCCACACUGGAACUGAGACACGGUCCAGACUCCUACGGGAGGCAGCAGUGGGGAAUAUUGGACAAUGGGCGCAAGCCUGAUCCAGCCAUACCGCGUGGGUGAAGAAGGCCUUCGGGUUGUAGAGUCCUUUUGUUGGGAAAGAAAAGUAGCAGGUUAAUACCCCGCUGUUCUGACGGUACCCAAAGAAUAAGCACCGGCUAACUUCGUG
rnacentral:rRNA from 1 species